rnacentral:lncRNA from 1 species
GAAGCAAGCCAGUAAAGAACAUCCCUCCAUGGCCUCUGCAUCAGCUCCUGCUCCCUGACCUGCUUGAGUUCCAGUCCUGACUUCUUUCAGUGAUGAACAGCAAUGUGGAAAUAAAAGUUGAAUAAGCCCUUUCCUCCCCAACUUGCUUCUUGGUCAUGAUGUUUGUGCAGGAAUAGAAACCCUGACUAAGACAGCAACUAACCAAUCACUUUCUAAAUGGAUUUAAGACGUGUACUGGCUAUUCCUGAUUGUCAACUUGAGUCUAUCUGGAAUGAACUACAAUCCAGAAUUGGAAGGCUCACCUGUGAUCCUAAUCUGGAGGCUGGGAGAUACAAGUUUCUGACAAUUUUGGCAUGGACAUCUUGAGGCAUAGUGACUUAUGUAUGCCAGAAGAUUAAGACAGGGAGAUCUCUGAGUUCAAAGUCAUCUGGGACAAAGCAAGUCCCAGAUCCAGGCGUGUUGACAAACACCUUUAAUCUGGGCCACACCUUCUGCUGGAGACCUACAUAAGGACAUUGGAAGAAGGAAGAUUUACUCUCUUCUUUGCCUGCUUGCGGUGUGGAACUGAGCAACUGCUAGAUCCUUGGACUUCCAUUCACAUCUGCUGUUGACCAUUGUUGGAGAGCUGGACUACAGACUACCUUUGAACUGCAUUGAAAAUUAGGAAUAUCUGCCACACAAAAAAGAAAGAAGAAGAAUUUCAAAGAUGCUUAGCGAGUAGUUCCUCCAUCCACAAAUUAUGCAGUCGAGUUUCCUCGAAUUUGGGGUCAAUACACACGGAGUGCAAUGGAUGAGCCUCGCUCUGGAGAAAUCACCUGCAUAAUCAUGGUAUUUCCCCUUCCAGGAUUUAUACAGAAGCAGUCUUCCAAAUUCUGAAACCUGAUGCCCAUCAUAUACUUUGGGCUGAGAAAAGAAAAUCAAACAUUUGUUUGAUGCAGCCUCCCUCAGCCUUCAAGCAGGCUGAUCCAGACUUUGACCUUGCUGCCUCUAAGAAGGAGAUUACCUAGGGGACAGCCUUCUGACCUUGAUGGCUCUAUUUGCUCUUCUCCAAGACUCUGCUUCCCGCUCAAAGGUCCUUGAGACAGUACAAAGACACACCCUGUAGAUCGCCUAAGGGCUGGCUCCAGGUACCAAGAACCGGCUGGCAGGGGAUGGGCCUUCCGCCUUAUAAACACACUCUCUUAAUAAACUCGGGGGGGGGGGGGGCUUG